rnacentral:lncRNA from 1 species
AUAGAUCCCUGAGUUUACAUUUGAGCUGAGCCUCUACCUAAGGUGAUGGGAGGAGGGAGAGCCUAAUACCAAUGCCAAGCAUGUUUUCAUGAAUUCAUGUAGAGGUAGCGGGGGCGUGCUGGGACUGUAGCUCAACUGUUGGCCUGGUUAGCAUGCGCUGGGUCCCAUCACAGAAACUCGAUGUGGUGGCACACUAGGGAGACAGAGGUAGGUGGAUCAGAAGUUCAAGAUUAUCUUUGGCUAAAUAUUAAGUCAGAGACCCGCCUUGGCUACCAAGGACCUUGCCUCCAAAGGAGAAAAAAAACAGCUAAUAAUGGAGGCCUAUCGUCCUCAAGGCUAAUGGCUGCUGGAGGCAGGCUUUCUCCCCCUUAAGGAUCCACUAGCACACUAUAUACUGGACUCACCACUUAGAUCCAGAUUUCUACCAAAGAGGAAAUACUGGAACACUGGUCCUCAGAAAGAAAAGAAAGAAUCCACCUUCAACGUUGCCAGAUGAGUCUCCUCCAGCAGACUCUAUCCUGUUCCGCAACUCUAAAAUAUAAUUAAAUUCUAACACCUUCCCAGAUGUGUAGAGACUUAUAAAUGCUGCACAAAGGAAUUCCUCUGAGACAGGUAGAAGGAUCUAAGUGUGGUGAGAAUGAAAAGCAAAUGUAGGGUACACAUGGAAGGAGUGAGGCCGUGCUAUCAUCAGAUCCAACAGAGCAGGGCUGCUCUAGCACUGGGAGAGCCUAAUGCUGGGAGCCCUCAAUGCUCGUGGGAAAGCAAGUCGCCUGGCUCACACCCUUUGAGUGUAACUCUUCAUGCCUUUGCUGGGUACUUCCCAAAACGAUUAAGCAAGGCCCCAAAGCUCAUGAUCAAGAUGUGACAGUGGCCUCACACAGUAGGACCAGAGGCCCUCUUGCAGCUGGCUCACCCACUUUCCUAUAGGAUAUGCUUCUCUCUGGGCAUCUGCCCCUCACCACCCCUUCCACCUGUCCCCUGUCACAUUGGACAUUCCAGGGGCAGUGCAAGGACAGAUACUGAGUGCCCAUCCCUGCCCCGGGGUAGUUUAAAACCUUCGCAGAAGUGAACACAGGAGAAAACCUCUAACAAAUGACGGGUGAAGGGCUGUUCUCUAUGGCUGUGAGGGGUGUGCCCUCCUGUCUGCAUUGUUGUGAACUUUGGGGGAAGAUCGUUCCCAGGUAUCACCUGCCAUGGUCAUAGGCCCAUUUCUUGCCUGUCCCUCACUUGUCCAUGCUGUGUCCAUGUCUGUGAGUGUCCUCAUGGCUGGCUGGACCUCUCCUCAUUUCACGAAAAGGAUGAAAUGCUGGACGGUGGGCAUUCCUUAAUCAGUGCUGCUGCCGAUGUCCCCAAAGGCACAGAGCAGACUCCUGGCUCCUAAGGGAGAAAGAACGCAGAUGUAGUGAAUUGCAUCUUGGAGUAGUUUCAAGGCCAAGUGGCCCAAGGCCUGGAACAUGAAGUCCAUCCCUCUGUGAGAGGGGGACUUGCAGUUGAGUGCUCUCCUACCUCUGCUCCCGUGAGAGAGGCCGACAUUUGGUGUUUAAUCUUUACACUGAUCUUUUUGUCCAAAAUUUCCAUUUUUGAUGAUCAAAAGAGGUAUGUACCUGGUGGCUGGGAAAUUGCAUUUGGCUUGCUUCUGUCUCUCAGAAGCAAGACAAGGAAGCAAAAGCCAUGUUUGGUCAGACAGCCCUGGGUAGCACUUCCACUGGCCAGUUGGGACUGGUCUUGGAGGUCAUCACAGACAGAUACUUAGGACCUAGGCAGUCCUCCGGUUGUCACUGGUGAUUUCCAGAGGCAGCUGCCCUGGCUGCAGCCUGACGCACGGGCUUUCAGGGCUAAGCCACCACAGAUCUUCUGGUAUACACUCUUAGUCCAGAAAACCCCUCUAAGCCUCUCGGCACAACUCGUCUGCUUGCUGUCUGAGUUCUCUACCAGCUGGUGAGAGUAUGGACAGCUGAAACCAAGUGUUAAAAACUGUAUUAAAGAGGUGUGACAGUGUACAACUAGAAUCCCAGCACUGGGAAGGUGGAGGCAGGAGAAUUGCAAGUUUAAGGCCAACCUGGGCUAGGUAGCAAGAUCCUGUCUCAAAAAAACAAAGGCUAGUGGGUGUAACUUAGUGUUAAAAAUGC